rnacentral:misc_RNA from 1 species
CCCUUCUUUUUGUGUUGAAACCCCUCAUAACGAGAGACACCUCCCAGUGCGUGGUAUCUCAGGUUUCACUAGCCACACUCCGUGUGGUGAAGCCAGGCAGCCUCCCUAUCCCCUUCCGAUGCACAGCCACCUCUGGUGGUGACAGGGCUGAGUGCCUACGGCGUGGGGGAAGGCCAGAGCGAUGCAUCGCGAUUGAUGUGGACGGCCAGGCUCUGCACGGCGCCGCGUCAGAGCGCUCUGCGACGGUGCGCGCGCUUGCACUAACCCAUAUGAUUAGGCAGAGUGUCAUCGCGGCUCCAACGCAUCCCACGCCCGGCCCUAACUGCCCACUGGUGUGGGGAGCCCGAGUACCAUCCCUGAUGGUGGACACACACCGUGCGGCGACCGGCAUGAUGGGGGAGCGGCCUGCGAGGCGGCCGUGGUGGGUAGAGUUUGAGGCAGAGGCCAUGCUCAGAUGGCUGAGUCGGCGCAUUGCUGUAGCACGUGUGUCUCACGCUGCUUCGCACCAGGCGAUGCGGUGCCUGUGACGGGCCAGGGAUAGGUUGGCGCUUAGCCGAUGCUUUAUCUGGGAGACAUGGAGCCGCGUUGGAGGCAAAAAGCUUUCCUUGAUGCUUGCCGACUUGCGCCCCUCUUCUCUGCGUAAUGUGGCGAUGUGUUGUGUCUCCCUCUCCUUGUCUUUAUGCUGCACUGGAGUGAACGUCUGAUUGGUGCUGCGAUCUCUCUCCCCCAGUCUAUCCGGUGUUUUGUGCCGCACCGCAGCUUAUGCAUCCACGUUUCUUUGCUUCGGGUAGUGCACAGACAGGCACACGCAAACGUGCGGAGAUGUGCAUGUGCAGGUGCACUGGGUGGAGCGGAACGCACACGGGAUCUUUGUCAGCGCUUCAUGUGUCGCGAUCUCGUCACUCAUCUGUGUAUUUCAGCGCCGCCUUCCUGAGAUCGCGCUGGUGUGUCGCAGCGCUCUGGUUUCUUUCUUCCGCUCCUAUGCUUGCCGCUUGUUUUUUUUUUCUUUGCGUGUCUGUCUGUGUUGGUAUUGUGCACGUGUACUAGAAUGGGUGCGAGCACCUCCUAUACUAUGUUGUAGUCGUGCCUUGGACAGUGUAUGCGGGCAAGGAGCUUGCGCCACCUCUCUCUCCUCAUCACGACCACCUCUGCUCUCGUAGGCCGGCCAGCGAUGGCGCUGACCCCUGUCGGAUGGUGGGGAGCCAACGUGAGGAGUUGCCCCCCCCCCUGUGGUUGCUCUGUUGUGUUUAUCAUCGCGCGCUGUUCUCCGGACACGACAGCGCGCUUCGACGGGGAAGGGAGGGGAGUAACGAUCGAGCUUUAUUUGUCCAGUGGAAGCCAUGACUCUAUGUCACCUACCAGGGCUGCUUCCAGUUUCCGUCUUCGCUGCGCAUGGGCCCCGCUGCCGUUAUGGUGCCUUCUCGCCCGUCACUUCUACGGUUUAUGUCUUUAUAGUACGUCCCACCUCCCAUCCCGACUUUCCCCUUCACGUCUCCACCCGGUGGGACAGGAAGAUAGAAGGGCAGGUGGCACGGAAGCCUCGCCAGGACAAGCAAACACAUCGUAUACGCGCAUCUGCGCUCUUGUACAAGAGGACGCUCUCUAUUCGCGCUGACAUGGCCUCCGUGUCCGCGGCGCAGCGGAACACACUUCAGCAGUCGAAUGGGCUUGGGCGAAUGGGGCGGACUCGCUAAGGACCUCGGAGCAACUCACUCUCCCGCUUCUUCCAUCUCUCUCCCGCCUCUCUCACGCACGCUGGCAAAG